UCAAUUGAGAGUUUGAUCCUGGCUCAGGACGAACGCUGGCGGCGCGCCUAACACAUGCAAGUCGAGCGAUGAAAAGGAUUUGGAGUUCUUCGGGACAAAGAAACCUUGGAUUAGCGGCGGACGGGUGAGUAACACGUGAGU
rnacentral:ncRNA from 1 species